rnacentral:miRNA from 1 species
UGUUGGGUUAAUAUGCAUACUC